rnacentral:lncRNA from 1 species
CUUUGGAGCAUUUCAGAUUUUGGUUGUUCAUAUUUGGGAUACUCAACGUGCACCAACCAGAAUGAAAGUUAUUUCAAUAUUAUUCCAACAAGCCAUUCUAAUUUUAACACAUACAUUUUAACAAGCAUAAAGUACAGCUAGGACACAAACAUUGAAGCCUUCAGGGAUCCAACAGCUUGGGCAUAAGGCUGGAAACUCGAUUGUUGAAAAGACUCUACUAAACCCACUGAUAGCGUAGCCUGUGGUCCGGCAUUACAAUGAAGAGUGAAUGUAAGGCAGAGGGCAAACUACAUGGAAGAAAAGAGGUGCAACAGCUGAAAAGGUAGAUAAGCUUUCCUAGGGAGUCCCACAGUCAAGUGAGCUGCAGCAUAAAAUGAACUCCAGCUUGGGCAAACAGAGUGAGACUCUGUCUCAACAAAAAAAAAAAAAAAAAAAAAAAAGAAACAAAACUCUUGGGUUUUGUGUCGUGGCAAAGCUGGAUUCCUUAGGUCCAAUCAACAGGUUCUCAGCACCUUUGAUUGGAAAACAAUGGCCUUUUUCCUACCUAUCUCUAAUCUCUCUGGAGCCUUGUAGAAUUGUAAACAUUUCCAUUUCACAACUUUUAUUGUUUCGAUACCUUUGUUCUAAAGGGACAUACAUAAUCACACUGCCAGUAAGAGGCCAUCACCCGCAAGAUAUAUCAGGGGAAUGGGGCCUAGGGAGGAUUUCUUACUACCCUCAGCAAGAAGGAAAGAGAACAGAACAACUCCAAACUCUCAGUGCUGCUGAAUGGGGCAUCCCUACCAGAGGCCAACCAUUCCACCCCUUGGCUGUGAUUCACUUGGAUAAGGAUCCUCUCGUUAACUUUACAUCACAAUGCUUUAUCAUAAUGGCAGCAUAUCCUGAAGAGAAGGGCUCCUGAUUCUGCAAGGACAAAGGAGUUAUUUGGCUCAGGAGGGCUUAGGUUCAGUGACAUUCUGCCCUCUGGGUCUGAAAUGUUUAUUAUCAUUUGCAUCAUACACACACACACACACACACACACACACACACUUAAAACCACCUCAGUACAAAUGAACUUCCUUUUCAAAAUGAAGAAACCACAGUGACAUUGAUAUCACCGAGCAAAGCAAACAGAGCUCUUGGGUAAAGAGGCAUUACUGGGUGCUUCCUUACUCUUCAACUAACCAGUGUGCCCCUUUCAAAUUAUUGCAAAGUUUAUUUUUAUUUCUGUACUCCCAGGCUUAGAAAGCAUGUUUCUCUCAAAGGCUUUUCUUAUACUAUAUCUGAAAUGGCUUUUCAAAAAAGUAAGUUUCAGAUUGUAUGACAUGCAAAAUAUACUAGCCGCUUGGCAAAUAAACAUGCAAGCAGAUACCCACGGCUCCAUGUCAUGAGUUUUUGCCCUUUGUGACUUGCGUUUAGUGGUACUUCAUCCCAUUCCCCCUAAUUCAGAACAGUCUUCUUUACCAUUUAAUUGGUUUUAGAGACUUAGUUUUCUAAACAGUCUUUCUGCCAAUUUAGGAUGAGAUGAAGCGACAGUGGGAUCCAACGUUGGAAUCUGGCAUGGGGCUGAACUGGGGAGGGUCUGCUGCCACACUGCGGCCUGAGAACAGUCUUCUACAAACAUGCCAACCUCGGAAUCGGUAUGCUGGUUUGAGAUCGUCUUGCCUUGUUUAUCUAAGCAGAAAAGCCAGAUAGCAGAUUUGAUGGUGGUUAUCAAACCCUGUUAUUAGUUGACAGGGACCUGCACUGGUGAGAGGCCCAUCUACCUGCCCCAGUUCAGGGCUAAUUAACAAUUAGCCUUUUAACUUAAUUCCAAGAGAUCAGUGUUUGCAAAUCUAAAUGCCAGUUUAACAAACCUGUGAAGGAAACACUACUUCCAUAUUUGCCCACAUACUUUCCAACCUUAGGCAGUUUUGUCAUCAAUAAUCCACAAGCUCCUUCCUAGCAAACAUUAGUGCCAAGCAAAAAACUAAGAAAAAUAAAUCGUUUUCAAACCUGCCCUGGGUGUUGUGCAAGUUAUCCAGCCUCCUAGGGAUGGAGGUGUGGGGGUGCUUUCAAGGUCAUAGAGGUCUAAGAAGGCCUGGAAACCAGACAGGUGGUAUUCCUUAGCAGUAAGCCCAACCUAUAACUGCACCACCCACCCUCCAUGGGUAUCCAGCUCACAGUCACUGCCCCGUCAUGUCUAUGCACCCAUCUGUCCACUCAUCUCUGAACACUGAGACCUCACUGGGAUUUAUCUAUGGCUUAGUAGCUACGAAGGGCUGCUAAGUAGAAGGCAUGGCUCUUCUGAGAUGCACUUUUCAACUGGAGAGUGGAAUGGAAGAAAGGGAGAAUGUGAUGAAAACCAAACCUUUAAACGUGAUGAAAACCAAACCUAAAAGGAGAAAGCACAUACACAGCACAGGCCGGGAAGCAGGGAAGAUGCAGAUUGAAGACCAAGUUUGCUAGACAUGCCGCCACCACUGCACCUCUUACAGCCUUGGUUUCCUCAUCUAUUUAACAAACACAAAAUGCUCACUCUGGACCAGGACUAUUCUAAUGUGCGAGGAUACUAGCUUCACAGCUGAAGGCAGGAAGGCCUAGGAAGGUUAGGAAUCCUGCACAAAAUCAUAGCUAGUCAAUGGCAGAAAAGGGUUUGAUCCUACCUGGCUCUAGGCUCUGCUCUUAGUCACUACAUUACACUCUGCCUUCUGUGUAAAGGAGAAAAGCUAGUCUGACUCAAACGAAGAAGACUUUAAGAACAGCUUCUUGGAGCACACUUAUGGAAACUGACGUAACAGAUCUAGGCUGGGCUGAGAAUCACACUUUUAUAAAAGGUUGCCCAAGUAGUUACCCUGAAGACCAGCCAGGUUUCAGAACCCCUAAGCUUCCUUCCAGAUAUAAAGUUAUUUGAUUCCAGAGUUGUACCCAAGCCCAGAAAGGGAAGAUGGGCACCGGGGGCUGAGACUACGUCCACUUCCCACUGCUGCAGUACGUAAUCUUUACCAUCCUCCCAGGAGCCAGCGGGGGUGCUACACAGAUCCCCAGAUCCCAUGCUAUGGCUCCUAGGCUCACCCCCGGAGCAGGUAAGCAGCCUUCCCACCAUCCUACCGAAAGAGUUAAAUAUAUCCAAGAUUCCCUUACUAUCCUUGAAGAAAUAAACCUGCCGCUAUCAAUUCACAAGUGACUUCACACGUGUACUGCACACUUCCAUUUGACCCCCACACCCCUGUCAAGUUGCUUUCAGAAAGAUCUCUAUUCCACAGUCAUCCUUCUCUGUCCAGCCUCAUAACAACCAACCACCUCAGCAAGUCCCGAGUACCCACUGCAGUGUAGGUCAGCCUGUAUUUCUGGGGUUAGGUUCUAAAGUCUGCCUUUAGGGCAAAAGCCAGGUGAAAUUUACAAACACUCAUGAAAAUCCCUUAGCUGGAACCCCCCGCCUUUGAAAAAUCAAAAACCAAGAAUUAACGUCUUGUGCGUUUCUUUGCUAAGCUUACAGAUUCCGUUUCCUCAGAGGCAGAAGACACCAAGGCCUGAGCAAGGAAGGGCAAAGGGUUAAAGAAAGGGAUUUCUCCCUCUCUCCACCCUCAGCAGGAAGAGUUGAUGUCACAGGUUAAACUGAGUGUAUAAUAUCAGUCUCUAUUGUAUUUGCAAGGCAUAUGCUAGGUGCUAGCAGGCAAAGAAAUGAAUGUAAGACCCCUGCCCUCACAUAACCUACAAUCCAGUUGGGAGAGAUUAGAUCAUGUCCUAAAGAUAGUGGAUCACAGUUUAGCACAAAACAUCAGAAUUGUCAGACACAAUGUGCUACAGACAUCCAAAGGAGUUAAAGACAUUGCUUUAGUGUAGGAUGGGGAAAUUUUAAACUGGUUCUUAAGCUAUGAUUAUAUUCUUAAAAUGGGCUGAUUCAGCACUAAAUCAGUGUUUCAGGCACAAUUGACCCUGUCAUCUAAGCUUACAACAGUAUUUUCUGUUUUGUCUCACUGUCCCUCUUGAAAAUACCAAAUAAUUCACUGGCCUCACUGUCCACAGUAAUAUGUUGAGCCGAGGUCUUCAGGAAACCAUGCGCCAUAAUUCUGGUACUAUUUGGUUAUGAAAGCUUAAAUUAAAUCUCAAUAUAUUGUUAUGCUAAGAGAGUCUAUAUAACUGAGAACACAGAAUAACCACUUCUUUAUAAUAAAGGAAUCCUUUUAUAUAAGCAUUUAUCCUGACUUCCCCAACAAAUUAUUUAUACCAUAUAAAUACUUUGACCCUUUUUUUCCCCAACCCUGUCAUUACUUGGUCUCACACCAGCCUGUGUUAAAAUUAAACUUGCCUAUUUCUGCUUUCUUGCAGAGUCCUAAGACUUCCUGUAAGUCUCGCUGCCCGUUUUGGCUUUUUCUCUACUCUUAGCAUUCAAGGUGACCCAGCAAUCCCUGGAAGAUGGCCCUGGGCCACAUGGCACUCCGAGUGAAUAAAUGCAAGGAAGCAAGUGCUUAGGUACACAUCCUGAAUACAGCUCUGAUUCUUGGCUAGCUACAGCCACACUUCACUGGGCUUUUUCAGAAGGGAAUGGGGUGGAGGCAGGCAAAGAAGGACGGACCCAGAACUUGUUCCAAGGCCAGCUGGAAUAGAGUCAAUAGUAAGAGUCCAGGCACCAAUAUUUAAAUAGAUAGCCCUGACCUAUG